AUUGCAUUUGCUGUCCACCAGAAAAAGUAUCACAAGUGGAUAAAUAAUGUGCACUGCUCUGAGCCCAAAGGUACGCAGUGGACCUGGCCUCUCUGAUAUGCAUCAGUAUAGCCAAUGGCUAGCCAGCAGACAUGAAGCUAAUUUGCUACCAAUGAAAGAAGAUCUGGCCUUGUGGUUAACCAAUCUAUUAGGGAAGGAGAUUACAGCAGAAACUUUUAUGGAGAAGUUGGACAAUGGUGCCUUGCUCUGUCAACUUGCAGAAACUAUGCAGGAGAAAUUCAAGGAGAGUAUGGAUGCUAACAAGCCCACAAAGGUCAAAAUCCAAAUUAUUCUCAUUUCCUUGUUUCAAUGAGUCAUAGAAGGAAUUGUCUCUCACACUUUUGAUAUAUAACUCUUGAGGUGGGUGGCAGAAGAAGCCAGUGUCUAAGAUAUUGUGCUGAGAUUCUUUAGGAAUAAUACUUAAAAGAGUAUGAAGUUUGUUGAACUGUCUGUAGAUGGAAUUGCAAAUUGAACAAAAUUACUUUAUGGCCUUAUGUAUUUAAAAAUCUUUGGACAAGAGUAUAGGCCCUAGCAAAAUGGAAAAUGACCAUAUGCAAAGCAUGGAAAGCCUUUAUAAAAAGCACUCAUGUUUGAGAUAGCUUACUUUUUAUGCCCUAAUAAGCAAAUGACAAAAGUAAAAAUUAUUUUAGAAUUCCCCUUAAAUUAUAAGAGGGUAAAAUAAAAUCUAUCAUUUUCA
rnacentral:sRNA from 1 species